rnacentral:rRNA from 1 species
UGAACCAGCCAAGUAGCGUGCAGGAUGACGGCCCUAUGGGUUGUAAACUGCUUUUAUAAGGGAAUAAAGUGAGUCUCGUGAGGCUUUUUGCAUGUACCUUAUGAAUAAGGACCGGCUAAUUCCGUGCCAGCAGCCGCGGUAAUACGGAAGGUCCGGGCGUUAUCCGGAUUUAUUGGGUUUAAAGGGAGCGUAGGCCGGAGAUUAAGCGUGUUGUGAAAUGUAGAUGCUCAACAUCUGCACUGCAGCGCGAACUGGUUUCCUUGAGUACGCACAAAGUGGGCGGAAUUCGUGGUGUAGCGGUGAAAUGCUUAGAUAUCACGAAGAACUCCGAUUGCGAAGGCAGCUCACUGGAGCGCAACUGACGCUGAAGCUCGAAAGUGCGGGUAUCGAACAGGAUUAGAUACCCUGGUAGUCCGCACGGUAAACGAUGGAUGCCCGCUGUUGGUCUGAAUAGGUCAGCGGCCAAGCGAAAGCAUUAAGCAUCCCACCUGGGGAGUACGCCGGCAACGGUGAAACUCAAAGGAAUUGACGGGGGCCCGCACAAGCGGAGGAACAUGUGGUUUAAUUCGAUGAUACGCGAGGAACCUUACCCGGGCUUGAAUUGCAGAGGAAGGAUUUGGAGACAAUGACGCCCUUCGGGGCCUCUGUGAAGGUGCUGCAUGGUUGUCGUCAGCUCGUGCCGUGAGGUGUCGGCUUAAGUGCCAUAACGAGCGCAACCCCUCUCCUUAGUUGCCAUCAGGUCACGCUGGGCACUCUGGGGACACUGCCACCGUAAGGUGUGAGGAAGGUGGGGAUGACGUCAAAUCAGCACGGCCCUUACGUCCGGGGCUACACACGUGUUACAAUGGCAGGUACAGAGAGAUGGUGUUCUGCAAAGCGCAUCUAAUCCUUAAAGCCUGUCUCAGUUCGGACUGGGGUCUGCAACCCGACCCCACGAAGCUGGAUUCGCUAGUAAUCGCGCAUCAGCCAUGGCGCGGUGAAUACGUUCCCGGGCCUUGUACACACCGCCCGUCAAGCCAUGAAAGCCGGGGGCGCCUGAAGUCCGUGACCG